rnacentral:lncRNA from 1 species
CUGGGAUUAAAGGCAUGCGCCACCAUGCCCGGCUGGUUUUGGUUUUUUGAGACAGGGUUUAGCCUGUAACUCACUCUGUAGACCAGGCUGGCCAUGAAUUCACAGAACUCCACCUGCCUCUGCCUUCUGAGGGGACUGAAGACGUGAACCACCACCACCGGGCAUGGGUUUUUUGCUUUGUUUUGUUUUUUGUCUGUCUGUCUGUCUGUCUGUUUGUUUGUUUUACAGUGUCUAAAAUAAAUAUGUAUUUAUUUUGUCUGUUAUAUAUGGCAAGUCUGUGGAUGGCAGAGAAUAACUUUGUGUGAGUCAGUUGUCUCUACCAUGUGUGUUCUGGGGAUUUAACUCAGGUUGACAGUCAUGGAGUCCAGUGCCUUUAGGUGCAGAGCCAUCUUUGCUACCCCAACUGGACUUAUUAUGUGGGAUCCGGGACUCAGAAAUCAGAUCAUCUGUCUUGCAGCAAACACUUUGGCCUACUGAGCCAGCCCAGGCCCCGGGACCUCUUUCAGGGCACCACUCAUGAGUGCCCUGCCUACAUCACAUAAUAAUCAUACCCUAAGGCUGCAGCCCCUCACUGAGGAGCUAGGAUGGGAGUUUCCAGGGGACGCAGCACUGAGGCCUUAGGAGUAAUAAGACAAUGGUAGACCGGUCAUUUGCUCAGCAUCACACGGGUGGGCUCUGUUCACUUGGAGCAUGAAUGGUUUAUUCAAACUUGGCUCACUUCGGAACAAGUCAUAAACCCGCCUUGCUGGGCAAACAUGAUUGUCUGGCUUACUGCUGAGGCUUUCAGUUCCUUGACCUGGCCUUGGGGACAUGAGCAUAGUGUUCUCAGAGAGAAGGAACUUUCUGGAAUUACUCAAUUAUGAGGAGGCAUAAAUACUGGGGCAAAUUACGUGAAAACAGAAAUUAGGUGUGUGGAGCAGGAUAAAUAAGCAGUGUCAACUGAGGACAUCACUCCAGUCUGUCACAGGGUUCCCAAUCCAAUGCCUGGGUCAAGAACUGUGUGUUCCUGAAAGGGGUGGAUGGUCUGAUGAGGGUCACCAGAAAGCUUAACAACACUGACCGAUUUGUUGGAGAAGAGUCUUCCAGGGCCCUGGGAGAUGCUCAGCAGUUAAGAGUGCUUGCUGCUCUUUUGGAGAUCUUGGGUUUGGUUCCCAGCACCCAUAUUGGAUAUCUCAUAAUCACCUGUGACUUAAGCUCCAGGGGAUCUGGUGGCCUGUUCUGGUCUCCUCACACAGGUGCACACAUUUAACAGAUAGGAAUAAAACUUUACAUUUUUAUAAUGUGUUGGAGAGGUAGCUCAGCUCUUGAGAGCACUGGCUUUUCUAGAGAACCCAAGUUCAUUUCCCAGCACCCAUAUGGCAGCUCUGUAGUAGCCAGCUAUAACUGGUUAUGUUUAUGGUACUAGGGGAUCUAAUUUUCUCUGGGCUUCUCACCAGGCACGUUAUGCACAGACACACAUCCAGACAAGACACCCAUACAAAUAAAAAUGUAAAAGGGGAGCUGGAGAGAUGGCCCAGUAGUCAAAAGCACUGGCUGUUCUUCCCCAAGUUCAAUUCUCAGCACGUUAUGCACAGACACACAUCCAGACAAGACACCCAUACAAAUAAAAAUGUAAAAGGGGAGCUGGAGAGAUGGCCCAGUAGUCAAAAGCACUGGCUGUUCUUCCCCAAGUUCAAUUCUCAGC